GCUGGGAGUAGGCCACAUUGUGGGAGAACGGAGUGUUGUGAAGAUUGCAGCUGAAUGGCAUCACAGCAGCAUGACCACUGUUUUCCCCUACUUAUUUUUGUGUCUUUAGUCAGUUAGUUAAUUGUGUUUACGCCACCUUUAUUGUGUUUGUAUGUUGGUUUAUUUUAUUAGUUUGUUUGCCCUUUCCCACUCGUCACUGGUCUAGCUGACCAGUGUUCUUGAAGCAGCCCGUUCAGCACGUCUCCUGUCGUGAGACAAAGGGCUGCUUAGUUACAUUCCCCUUUUUAUUUCAACUCUUCCCCCGGUUUAACUUUAGUUUUCUUUUGUAUUUGUGUUGUUUAUUUCUCCGGU